rnacentral:rRNA from 1 species
AGGAUAAACGCUGGCGGCGUGCAUGAGACAUGCAAGUCGAACGGGUGACUUAGGGCUUGCUCUAAGUCGCUAGUGGCGGACGGCUGAGUAACGCGUAGGUGACCUGCCCCGAAGUGGGGAAUAACUGCCCGAAAGGGUGGCUAAUACCGCAUGUGGUGGUGUGUUCAUUCACACCAGUAAAGCCGCAAGGCGCUUCGGGAGGGGCCUGCGUCCGAUUAGCUCGUUGGUGGGGUAACGGCUCACCAAGGCGACGAUCGGUAGGUGGUCUGAGAGGACGAUCACCCAGACUGGGACUGAGACACGGCCCAGACUCCUACGGGAGGCAGCAGUCGGGAAUUUUGCGCAAUGGACGAAAGUCUGACGCAGCAACGCCGCGUGAGGGAUGAAGGCCUUCGGGUUGUAAACCUCUUUUAUCAGGGAAGAUAAUGACGGUACCUGAUGAAUAAGUCACGGCUAACUACGUGCCAGCAGCCGC